GAUCCUGGCUCAGAACGAACGCUGGCGGCAGGCUUAACACAUGCAAGUUGAACGGGAACAUACGAUAGCUUGCUAUAGUAUGUGAGAGUGGCGCACGGGUGAGUAAUACAUGGGAACAUACCUUAAAGUGGGGGAGUAACUUCUGGAAACGGAUGCUAAUACCGCAUAUACCCUGAGGGGGAAAGAUUUAUCGCUUUAAGAUUGGCCCAUGGCAGAUUAGGUAGUUGGUGGGGUAAAGGCCUACCAAGCCG
rnacentral:rRNA from 1 species